rnacentral:rRNA from 1 species
UACGUAGGGUGCAAGCGUUAAUCGGAAUUACUGGGCGUAAAGCGUGCGCAGGCGGUGAUGUAAGACAGAUGUGAAAUCCCCGGGCUCAACCUGGAACUGCAUUGUGACUGCAUCGCUGGAGUGCGGCAGAGGGGGGGAUGGAAUCCGCGUGUAGCAGUGAAAUGCGUAGAUAUGCGGAGGAACACCGAUGGCGAAGGCAGGUCUCUGGGCCGAUACGUGACGCUGAGGAGCGAAAAGCGUGGGGAGCGAACGG